GGUGCCUUGGAUGAGUGGUUUAGUCACCGGUCUGCAAAACCGAUUACAGCGGUUCGAAUCCGCUAGGCACCU
rnacentral:tRNA from 1 species